rnacentral:misc_RNA from 1 species
GGUAUUCUCAACCCCUAAAUUUUUGUAAUGAAGGUUUAGCGGGCUUGGACUUGGAGGUUGUGUCGGCCCUUGUUGGUCGACUCCUCUGAAAUGCAUUAGCGUGAAUCUUACGGAUCGCCUUCAGUGUGAUAAUUAUCUGCGCUGUGGUGUUGAAGUAUUUAUGGUGUUCAUGCUUCGAACCGUCUCCUUGCCGAGACAAUCAUUUGACAAUCUGAGCUCAA